rnacentral:lncRNA from 1 species
AACCAUGCUUCGUUUGUGGAAGAACAAAUCAUUGGGCCAAAGACUGUCAUUACAAGAAGACCGAGCCCUACAAACCCAAGCCUAAGUGGAACAAAGGACAAAGUGGUCCUAAAGCCCAAGUGAAUGUGUUGGUGGAUCAAGAUGAUCAAGAUGAACCCAAUCUAAGGUAUAGUUUUAAGCCUCUAGUUAAUGUCGCAUAUUUAAGUAAUAGUGAUUGGUGGUUAGAUUCUGG